UCUGCGUGUGUGUGUGUGUGUGUGUGUGUGUGUGUGUGUGUGUGUGUGUGUGUGUGCAGGUUCCUUCGCCAGAGGCUCCACUCUCCCUAAGUUUGUCUCCACAGGAACCCCAGAAUGGCUUUUCUAUCACAAUUACAUCCCUUCCCACUUCCAGUCAAUAAAUAUCAUUUCUUAAUAUUA